rnacentral:rRNA from 1 species
AUUGAACGCUGGCGGCAGGCCUAACACAUGCAAGUCGAGCGGGGUUUUCGGACCUAGCGGCGGACGGGUGAGUAAUGCGUAGGAAGCUACCCGAUAGAGGGGGAUACCAGUUGGAAACGACUGUUAAUACCGCAUAAUGUCUACGGACCAAAGUGUGGGACCUUCGGGCCACAUGCUAUCGGAUGCGCCUACGUGGGAUUAGCUAGUUGGUGAGGUAAUGGCUCACCAAGGCGACGAUCUCUAGCUGGUUUGAGAGGAUGAUCAGCCACACUGGAACUGAGACACGGUCCAGACUCCUACGGGAGGCAGCAGUGGGGAAUAUUGGACAAUGGGCGGCAAGCCUGAUCCAGCCAUGCCGCGUGUGUGAAGAAGGCC